rnacentral:rRNA from 1 species
CAGCCGCCACGGUAAUACGAAGGGGGCUAGCGUUGUUCGGAAUUACUGGGCGUAAAGCGCACGUAGGCGGACAUUUAAGUCAGGGGUGAAAUCCCGGGGCUCAACCCCGGAACUGCCUUUGAUACUGGGUGUCUAGAGUAUGGAAGAGGUGAGUGGAAUUCCGAGUGUAGAGGUGAAAUUCGUAGAUAUUCGGAGGAACACCAGUGGCGAAGGCGGCUCACUGGUCCAUUACUGACGCUGAGGUGCGAAAGCGUGGGGAGCAAACAGGAUUAGAUACCCGAGUAGUCCCUGUCUCUUAUAC